rnacentral:rRNA from 1 species
ACACAAUGUCGAGUCCACUGGUCUCUGGCUACUAGUUGGUUUGAGACUUUGGCGAACGUGAAGCAAAAGGCUUUUCGGUAUAUGAAAACUAUAUUACAACUUUCAGCAAUGGAUCUCUUGGUUCUCGCAUCGAUGAAGAACGCAGCGAAUUGCGAUAAGUAAUGUGAAUUGCAGAUUUCCAGUGAAUCAUCGAAUCUUUGAACGCACCUUGCGCUCCUUGGUAUUCCGAGGAGCAUGCCUGUUUGAGUGUCAUUUUUAUUCUCAACCAUGAAUCAUCGAGUUUCAUGGCUUGGACUUUGGGAGUUGCUGGCAGCUGCAAAGCAUAUCAGCUCUUCUUAAAUACAUUAGUGGAAAGGUGGCUAGUCUGAGGAAAGGGGGACGUGCACGGCCUUUGACAUGAUAAUGAUUGUCAUGGCUGGAGCGUUUUCUUUGACGAAACCAUCCUCUGCUUCUAACAAGCUGUUACACUCUUUCAAAUGUAGAAAAAGGGAAGAAGGGGGAAGCACUAGCAUCUGACUUAGCACUAGCAUGGAGCUUUAGCUACUAGUUGGUCGAAAGACUGGCGAACACAAGGCGAAAGGCAAAGGCGAAAGGGAAUGAUGCAAAGGCUUUUUUCAACUUUCAUUAUUCGAGUUUGUUGGAUGAAAUCGAAAUCGAAAGUUGACCUCAAAUCAGGCAGGACUACCCGCUGAACUUAAGCAUAUCAAUAAGCGGAGGAAAAGAAACUAACAAGGAUUCCCCUAGUAACUGCGAGUGAAGCGGGAAAAGCUCAAAUUUUGAAUCUGGCGGUCACGU